CAGUGGUAGAGACAGUAUUUGUUAGGAUUUUGCUGAUCUGGAUGAGACCGCAACUUCCUUACACGAGGGAUCCAAUCCUUAAUCUCCAUCAACACUUGCGUUUAGGCAGCGUUCAGUAGCGUGUAGUUUAUAAACCUUCUAGAUGGAGACACACAUCUCUCCCCUCUAAAAGAAUUCUUUUGUUGGUGAUUUUAUGGGGGAGUUCGGGAUCUCUAACUUUUGGGUGG
rnacentral:lncRNA from 1 species